rnacentral:rRNA from 1 species
UAUUUUGUUGGUUGUUCGAGAACCGAAGUAAUGAUUGAUAGGGACAGUUGGGGGCGUCAGUAUUCUGAAGCGAGAGGUGAAAUUCUUGGACCUUCGGAAGACUAACAACUGCGAAAGCAUUCGCCUAGGAUGUUCUCUUUAAUCAAGAACGAAAGUUGGGGGAUCGAAGACGAUCAGAUACCGUCGUAGUCUCAACUAUAAACUAUGCCAGCUAGGGAUUGGUGGACGUUUUCGUACGACUUCAUCAGCACCUUAUGAGAAAUCAAAGCAUUUGGGUUCCGGGGGGAGUAUGGUCGCAAGGCUGAAACUUAAAGGAAUUGACGGGAGGGCACC